GACGAACGCUGGCGGCGUGCCUAAUACAUGCAAGUCGAACGCAGUGGGGACGGGUUCGUAACACGUGGGUAACCUCCCAUCAGAGGGGAUAACCCUUGGAAACAGGUGCUAAACCGCUACUGAUGGAUGGACCUGCUGUGCAUUAGCUAGUUGGUGAGGGAACGGCUCACCAAGGCUACGAUGCCUAGCCGGUCUGAGAGGGUGAGCGGCCACACUGGAACUGAGACACGGCCCAGACUCCUACGGGAGGCAGCAGUAGGGAAUCUUCGGCAAUGGGCGAAAGUCUGACCGAGCAACGCCGCGUGAGUGAAGAAGGUUUUCGGAUCGUAAAACUCUGUUGUUAGAGAAGCGGUAUCUAACCAGAAAGCCACGGCUAACUACGUGCCAGCAGCCGCGGUAAUAC
rnacentral:rRNA from 1 species